GAUGCCAUAGGUGACAGCCAUUUGACAGCUUUCCUAAUUUUGUUGGCAAACAAACUAGUUUCGGACAAAACGUUCCUUUGAUCGUAAGAGUUGUGACAGAUUUUUAUUUAAGAAUAUCAACCUGAAGCUUGAAUAUUGCAUUGAAAGUCAGUAAAAGUUGUAGGAGUAUUGCUGUGCCUGCGUGGUCUCAUCGCGGUAUUCUUGCCUAAGACAAUAAUUAAUGAAGAACUUGAUCGGCGUACGGGGCAGAUACACGUAGACGUGUUGAUCAGAAAAUGGAAGGAAGUGGUAGUGGAUAAAUCGCACAUUAAGGAAGUGCGUGCAUCUCCCGGGUUAUGCCAUGCAAUACAAUCCACUAUCCCAGGACUACCGACGAGUGAGUCUCCGCGUUGCAACGACGGAUGCACGGAAACCAUAUUAUAAAUGAAUUCACUGUCCAUUUCGACUUAAUCUUCUCCUAGUACAAAACGAUAAGAACUUGAAUUUUGUUUUACUAGAUUUAUGGAAAAUUCAGUAGAAAACAAAAUGCAGUAACUGCUCUAGUGGUGAUAUUCAUUUUUAAACACCGACAAACUAUUAUUAAGAAUCACAAGUUCAUAGAUCCUGUUCAAAAGCUGGCGACUCGUGCACCACGAAAAUUGAGUUAUCUUCCGCACGGCAAUGUACAUCAUUAUAGAAAGGAGUAAUCUCCAGAAUUUACUUUCGCCAAGGAAUGAUCAUUUUUUCCACUAGAUGUCCAGUCAUAUGAAGAGAAUUAUCUUCCACAAAAAUCUGGACCUUAAAAACUGGCUCAUCAACGUCUUCGACACAUUACUAGGCAAUUUUUGGAGAAAAGAUAUUGAUAGACUGGAAGCAUGAUUCUCCUUUUAAGUUAGUUACUUCGUUCCAAUUAUUUUAAGUUAAAAAGGAUGUCAUGUCAUUUUGAAUUUGUUUAGACAAAACAGCUAUUCCACAAAUUCGAUUAAAAACUUUCGAAAGAAACAAAAUUGAAAACUAGUCAGGAUAACAAGUGAUGAUAUUGCAUGCGUAUUUCUAAGUCUGAGAAAUGGUUUUGUGAAAAGAAAACAGAAAAAGUGUAGACACUCCUAUAAUAAAAAGAGUUCAAUUCCUGUUCAGUACCUAUACAUUACCAAAAACCUAACUGUAAAUAAAAGAUAAUUAGUGCGGG